GUGCCAGCCGCCGCGGUAAUACCGGCAGCCCGAGUGAUGGCCGAUCUUAUUGGGCCUAAAGCGUCCGUAGCUGGCUGCGCAAGUCCGUCGGGAAAUCCGCCCGCUCAACGGACGGCCGUCCGGCGGAACCUGUGUGGCUUGGGACCGGGAGGCCUGAGGGGUACGAUCGGGGUAGGAGUGAAAUCCUGUAAUCCCGCUCGGACCGCCGAUGGGGAAACCACCUCAGGAGAACGGAUCCGACAGUGAGGGACGAAAGCCAGGGUCUCGAACCGGAUUAGAAACCCGGGUAGUCC
rnacentral:rRNA from 1 species